GACGAACGCUGGCGGCGUGCUUAACACAUGCAAGUCGAGCGGUAAGGCCCUUUCGGGGGUACACGAGCGGCGAACGGGUGAGUAACACGUGGGUGACCUGCCCUCAGCUCUGGGAUAAGCCCGGGAAACUGGGUCUAAUACUGGAUAUUACUCUGCGGUGCAUGCCGUGGGGUGGAAAGCCUUGUGCGGCUGGGGAUGGGCCCGCGGCCUAUCAGCUUGUUGGUGGGGUGAUGGCCACCAAGGCGACGACGGUAGCCGGCCUGAGAGGGCGACCGGCCACACUGGGACUGAGACACGGCCCAGACUCCUACGGGAGGCAGCAGUGGGGAAUCUUGCGCAAUGGGCGAAAGCCUGACGCAGCGACGCCGCGUGAGGGAUGACGGCCU
rnacentral:rRNA from 1 species